CAGUAGCCACGGUAAUACAGAGGGUGCGAGCGUUAAUCGGAUUUACUGGGCGUAAAGCGUGCGUAGGCGGCUUCUUAAGUCGGAUGUGAAAUCCCUGAGCUUAACUUAGGAAUUGCAUUCGAUACUGGGAAGCUAGAGUAUGGGAGAGGAUGGUAGAAUUCCAGGUGUAGCGGUGAAAUGCGUAGAGAUCUGGAGGAAUACCGAUGGCGAAGGCAGCCAUCUGGCCUAAUACUGACGCUGAGGUACGAAAGCAUGGGGAGCAAACAGGAUUAGAGACCCCAGUAGUCCCUGUCUCUUAUAC
rnacentral:rRNA from 1 species